AAAUUAUACUAUUUUGUUGUGAAAGUAAAGAGCCAAGGUGCAUUGACUUGAGGAAAAAGAAAUGAAUAGUCUCUUUUAUUUUAUGCUUUAGUUGCAAUAUGAAGGAGAUCAAUUGAGUUUGAAGUUGUGCGUGACCAAGACAACAUUUUAGUGCAUAGCCAAGAAGAUGAUUUGUGUAGAGUAGCUAGCUUAUUCACCAUGAGACAAAGGGCUUGUAGACACACUUCUUAAAUGAAUCAAUUUCUUACUGCACUAUUCACAU
rnacentral:lncRNA from 1 species